rnacentral:rRNA from 1 species
UACGGAGGGAGCUAGCGUUGUUCGGAAUUACUGGGCGUAAAGCGCACGUAGGCGGCUUUGUAAGUUAGAGGUGAAAGCCCGGAGCUCAACUCCGGAACUGCCUUUAAGACUGCAUCGCUUGAAUCCAGGAGAGGUGAGUGGAAUUCCGAGUGUAGAGGUGAAAUUCGUAGAUAUUCGGAAGAACACCAGUGGCGAAGGCGGCUCACUGAGCUGGUAUUGACGCUGAGGUGCGAAAGCGUGGGGAGCAAACAGG